rnacentral:rRNA from 1 species
UGCAGUCGACGAUGAACCACUUCGGUGGGGAUUAGUGGCGAACGGGUGAGUAACACGUGGGCAAUCUGCCCUUCACUCUGGGACAAGCCCUGGAAACGGGGUCUAAUACCGGAUAUGAGCCUGGGAGGCAUCUCCUGGGUUGUAAAGCUCCGGCGGUGAAGGAUGAGCCCGCGGCCUAUCAGCUUGUUGGUGAGGUAAUGGCUCACCAAGGCGACGACGGGUAGCCGGCCUGAGAGGGCGACCGGCCACACUGGGACUGAGACACGGCCCAGACUCCUACGGGAGGCAGCAGUGGGGAAUAUUGCACAAUGGGCGAAAGCCUGAUGCAGCGACGCCGCGUGAGGGAUGACGGCCUUCGGGUUGUAAACCUCUUUCAGCAGGGAAGAAGCGAAAGUGACGGUACCUGCAGAAGAAGCGCCGGCUAACUACGUGCCAGCAGCCGCGGUAAUACGUAGGGCGCAAGCGUUGUCCGGAAUUAUUGGGCGUAAAGAGCUCGUAGGCGGCUUGUCACGUCGAUUGUGAAAGCCCGAGGCUUAACCUCGGGUCUGCAGUCGAUACGGGCUAGCUAGAGUGUGGUAGGGGAGAUCGGAAUUCCUGGUGUAGCGGUGAAAUGCGCAGAUAUCAGAGGAACACCGGUGGCGAAGGCGGAUCUCUGGGCCAUUACUGACGCUGAGGAGCGAAAGCGUGGGGAGCGAACAGGAUUAGAUACCCUGGUAGUCCACGCCGUAAACGGUGGGAACUAGGUGUUGGCGACAUUCCACGUCGUCGUGCCGCAGCUAACGCAUUAAGUUCCCCGCCUGGGGAGUACGCCGCAAGGCUAAAACUCAAAGGAAUUGACGGGGCCCGCACAAGC